CGUAACAAGGUCUCCGUAGGUGAACCUGCGGAGGGAUCAUUACACAAAUAUGAAGGCGGGCUGGAACCUCUCGGGGUUACAGCCUUGCUGAAUUAUUCACCCUUGUCUUUUGCGUACUUCUUGUUUCCUUGGUGGGUUCGCCCACCACUAGGACAAACAUAAACCUUUUGUAAUUGCAAUCAGCGUCAGUAACAAAUUAAUAAUUACAACUUUCAACAACGGAUCUCAUGGUUCUGGCAUCGAUGAAGAACGCAGCGAAAUGCGAUAAGUAGUGUGAAUUGCAGAAUUCAGUGAAUCAUCGAAUCUUUGAACGCACAUUGCGCCCUUUGGUAUUCCAAAGGGCAUGCCUGUUCGAGCGUCAUUUGUACCCUCAAGCUUUGCUUGGUGUUGGGCGUCUUGUCUCUAGCUUUGCUGGAGACUCGCCUUAAAGUAAUUGGCAGCCGGCCUACUGGUUUCGGAGCGCAGCACAAGUCGCACUCUCUAUCAGCAAAGGUCUAGCAUCCAUUAAGCCUUUUUUUCAACUUUUGACCUCGGAUCAGGUAGGGAUACCCGCUGAACUUAAGCA
rnacentral:rRNA from 1 species